AAUACUUACGCCAUCUAUUACGGAGUACAUUUUCUUUGAAACAAAUAUUAUCAAAGCUAAAUUUCAUGCGAGGGUAGCUCAAGAUCCGAGGAAAAUACCAUUUAAACAAAGACACCCCCUUGAAUUACAACCUCGAUGUGGUAAUGUAAGGAAGCAAGGAAGUAACGAGAGCCACUGUUUAUA